rnacentral:rRNA from 1 species
CAGCAGCCGCGGGAAAACGUAGGGUGCGAGCGUUAAUCGGAUUUACUGGGUGUAAAGCGUGCGCAGGCGGCCCGUUAAGACAGGUGUGAAAUCCCUGGGCUCAACCUAGGAACUGCGCUUGUGACUGGCGGGCUCGAGUACGGUAGAGGGGGGUGGAAUUCCUGGUGUAGCAGUGAAAUGCGUAGAGAUCAGGGGGAACACCGGUGGCGAAGGCAGCCCCCUGGGCCUGUACUGACGCUCAUGCACGAAAGCGUGGGGAGCAAACAGGAUUAGAUACCCCGGUAGUCCCUGUCUCUUAUAC